AGUGAACGCUGGCGGUAGGCCUAACACAUGCAAGUCGAACGGCAGCACAGGAGAGCUUGCUCUCUGGGUGGCGAGCGGCGGACGGGUGAGGAAUACAUCGGAAUCUACUCUGUCGUGGGGGAUAACGUAGGGAAACUUACGCUAAUACCGCAUACGACCUACGGGUGAAAGCAGGGGAUCUUCGGACCUUGCGCGAUUGAAUGAGCUGAUGUCGGAUUAGCUAGUUGGCGGGGUAAAGGCCCACAAAGGCGACGAUCCGUAGCUGGUCUGAGAUGAUGAUCAGCCACACUGGAACUGAGACACGGUCCAGACUCCUACGGGAGGCAGCUGUGGGGAAUGUUGGACAAUGGGCGAAAGCCUGAUCCAGCCAUACCGCGUUGGUGAAGAAGGCCUUCGGGUUGUAAAGCCCUUCUGUUGGGAAAGAAAUCCAGCUGGCUAAUACCCGGUUGGGAUGACGGUACCCAAAGAAUAAGCACCGGCUAACUUCGUGCCAGCCGCCGCGGUAA
rnacentral:rRNA from 1 species